CACACAGACACACACACACACAGAGACACACACGCACACACACACAGAGACACACACACACACACACAGAGACAAAUGCACAACCAUGCACUAAAUGAGUUUAACAAGAUCUAGAACAGAGUUUUAAAAAAUGACUGCUGUUGAUGGUCUGACAUGUUUGUAUAAAAAUUUUAAGACUGAAUAAAAGAAAAAAGAAAAUGUA